AUAUUGGACAAUGGGCGAAAGCCUGAUCCAGCAAUGCCGCGUGAGUGAUGAAGGCCUUAGGGUUGUAAAGCUCUUUUACCAGGGAUGAUAAUGACAGUACCUGGCGAAUAAGCUCCGGCUAACUCCGUGCCGGCAGCCGCGGUAAUACGGAGGGAGCUAGCGUUGUUCGGAAUUACUGGGCGUAAAGCGCGCGUAGGCGGCCUUGUAAGUUAGAGGUGAAAGCCCGGGGCUCAACCCCGGAACUGCCUUUAAGACUGCAGAGCUAGAGUCUUGGAGAGGUGAGUGGAAUUCCGAGUGUAGAGGUGAAAUUCGUAGAUAUUCGGAAGAACACCAGUGGCGAAGGCGACUCACUGGACAAGUACUGACGCUGAGGUGCGAAAGCGUGGGGAGCAAAC
rnacentral:rRNA from 1 species